rnacentral:rRNA from 1 species
UACGUAGGGUGCGAGCGUUGUCCGGAAUUAUUGGGCGUAAAGGGCUCGUAGGCGGUUUGUCGCGUCGGGAGUGAAAACUCAGGGCUUAACCCUGAGCCUGCUUCCGAUACGGGCAGACUAGAGGUAUGCAGGGGAGAACGGAAUUCCUGGUGUAGCGGUGAAAUGCGCAGAUAUCAGGAGGAACACCGGUGGCGAAGGCGGUUCUCUGGGCAUUACCUGACGCUGAGGAGCGAAAGCCAGGGGAGCAAACAGG